rnacentral:lncRNA from 1 species
UGCAUUUCCAUUUAUGAUAAUGCAUUUGGCAUGCAGAUCUUUAAGCCUGUCAUCUGUCAUAUAACUGAUGAGAUUCUCCUGAAUAAAAAAGGAAAAAGGGGAACUUCUUGUUACAAAGUUUCUUAGCAGUUGCUGGUUUUAGUAAAUGCCAGUAAAUGUGUGUCACACUGAUGUAAUGAUGUUCAUAUACAUUUACAGCAAAGUAUUUGGAAUCUUAAAAUCUGUUAUCUGUCAUUUAAUUUAACACGUGUCUCCUUGUCACUUUCCUGUCGUGAUGAAAAGGAGGAAGUUGUUUUGUUGCAGCCUCCAAACGUGUCCUCAUUUUCAAUAAAACCAAAAAAUCUAAUUACAAAUUAAUUAAAGGUUCAGUGAACAUUACAGUAAUGAUAAAAUUAAAAAUUUUGCAUUUUAUAUUUAAAACAAUGUUUAUACAUCAUGCACUUUUCUUUUGAGUAAUCAACUCCAUAACUCCAUAACACUAAAGUAGAAAAACACCAAUAUGACUAAAUCACUGAGAUA